rnacentral:misc_RNA from 1 species
UACGGAGAGUGCGAGCGUUGUUCGGAAUCAUUGGGCGUAAAGGGCGUCUAGGUGGCCUGGCAAGUCAGAUGUGAAAUCCCUCGGCUCAACCGAGGACGUGCAUUUGAAACUGUCGGGCUCGAGUACCGGAGGGGGCAGCGGAAUUCCCGGUGUAGAGGUGAAAUUCGUAGAUAUCGGGAGGAACACCAGUGGCGAAGGCGGCUGCCUGGCCGGAUACUGACACUCGAGCGCGAAAGCAUGGGGAGCAAACAGG